AACGAACGCUGGCGGCAGGCCUAACACAUGCAAGUCGAACGCCGUAGCAAUACGGAGUGGCAGACGGGUGAGUAACACGUGGGAACGUACCCUUCGGUUCGGGAUAACUCAGGGAAACUUGAGCUAAUACCGGAUACGUCCGAGAGGAGAAAGAUUUAUCGCCGAGGGAUCGGCCCGCGUCUGAUUAGCUUGUUGGUGAGGUAACGGCUCACCAAGGCGACGAUCAGUAGCUGGUCNGAGAGGAUGAUCAGCCACAUUGGGACUGAGACACGGCCCAAACUCCUACGGGAGGCAGCAGUGGGGAAUAUUGGACAAUGGGCGCAAGCCUGAUCCAGCCAUGCCGCGUGAGUGAUGAAGGCCCUAGGGUUGUAAAGCUCUUUUACCCGGGAAGAUAAUGACUGUACCGGGAGAAUAAGCCCCGGCUAA
rnacentral:rRNA from 1 species